rnacentral:misc_RNA from 1 species
AAGUCGUAACAAGGUUUCCGUAGGUGAACCUGCGGAAGGAUCAUUAAUGAAUUUAUUGAAUUGGGUUGUAGCUGGCUCUCUCUGGGGGCAUGUGCACACUCUAUUCAUCUAUUUCCAUAUACACUUGUGCACCUUUUGUGGGUCGGUCAUAUGAGGGAAAGCUGAAAGGCUUUUGUUCUAGACCUUCCUACGUUUUUAUUAUAAACCCUAGCAUGUCUUUGAAUGUCUUUGCAUUAAUGAUGCAUUUUAAUACAACUUUCAGCAACGGAUCUCUUGGCUCUC